rnacentral:rRNA from 1 species
AUUGAACGCUGGCGGCAGGCUUAACACAUGCAAGUCGAGCGGGGAAAGGUAGCUUGCUACCUGACCUAGCGGCGGACGGGUGAGUAAUGCUUAGGAAUCUGCCUAUUAGUGGGGGACAACAUUCCGAAAGGAAUGCUAAUACCGCAUACGCCCUACGGGGGAAAGCAGGGGAUCUUCGGACCUUGCGCUAAUAGAUGAGCCUAAGUCAGAUUAGCUAGUUGGUGGGGUAAAGGCCUACCAAGGCGACGAUCGGUAGCGGGUCUGAGAGGAUGGUCCGCCACACUGGGACUGAGACACGGACCAGACUCCUACGGGAGGCAGCAGUGGGGAAUAUUGGACAAUGGGCGAAAGCCUGAUCCAGCCGUGCCGCGUGUGUGAAGAAGGCCUUUUGGUUGUAAAGCACUUUAAGCGAGGAGGAGGCUACUUGGAUUAAUACUCUAGGAUAGUGGACGUUACUCGCAGAAUAAGCACCGGCUAACUCUGUGCCAGCAGCCGCAGUAACAC